rnacentral:rRNA from 1 species
UGGGGAAUAUUGCGCAAUGGGCGAAAGCCUGACGCAGCGACGCCGCGUGAGGGAUGAAGGUUUUCGGAUCGUAAACCUCUGUCAGAAGGGAAGAAACCGCACUGUGCUAAUCAGCAGUGCCUUGACGGUACCUUCAAAGGAAGCACCGGCUAACUCCGUGCCAGCAGCCGCGGUAAUACGGAGGGUGCAAGCGUUAAUCGGAAUUACUGGGCGUAAAGCGCACGUAGGCUGCUUUGUAAGUCAGGGGUGAAAUCCCACGGCUCAACCGUGGAACGGCCUUUGAUACUGCUUAGCUUGAAUCCGGGAGAGGGUGGCGGAAUUCCAGGUGUAGGAGUGAAAUCCGUAGAUAUCUGGAGGAACAUCAGUGGCGAAGGCGGCCACCUGGACCGGUAUUGACGCUGAGGUGCGAAAGCGUGGGGAGCAAACAGG